CCUCUGUAGCUCAGUUGGAUAGAGCGCUGCACCGGAAUCUUUUAGAGCCGCAGGUUCGAUUCCUAUCAGCAAGGG